rnacentral:lncRNA from 1 species
UGUGUUUUGUAUAAUGUUGCUUGUAUUGCUCGUUUUUGCCCGUCUUUGUCAGCUCGUUUUCAAUUAUGAGUUUGAUGUCCCUUUGAUAUCUUUAGUCACUCUUCAAGAAGUAAAAGUUUUAAAUAUUGUUGAUCAUUGUAGUUAAAUGUAUCAUGAUAACGAUUUAGUCAUAUAUAUAUAUCACCGUGAACAAAUUAGUUAUUUUCGAGGAUAUUUGUCUUAUUGCGUUAAUCUUUUUCACUUUACUUUAAGGCGAUUUUUUGGCCGAUUUUCAUUACUGCAAGUUAAUGUCUGUAAAGUAAAAAAAUACCAAAAGGGACAAUCAACAUCUAAAACCAUGAAUAAAAAAAAACUUAAUCAAAAACAUGAACAAGUCCUAGAGACGAACAUUAGUCCACAAAACACAGCACAGCAUGCGCACGAUCACUGCCGAACACAGCGAUUGAUCUUAUGAG